GCGAAGAAAAGUGUUUUUCCUUCUUAAACUCGAACAAUGUUUAAAUUUUAUAUGCGUCGAAAAAUUUGUAAAAUGAGUUUGAAGCAAGUUCACUAACUAUCGAAAUAUUUCCACAAAAACGGUACGAAGAGUAAGUAACAAUUACGUGGCCGAGGCGAAAGCAAAAAUAAAAAGGCAUUGUUCCGGCCGAGGCGAGGAAAGAAAAAAAAGAAUUGAACGAUGCUUUGAUUCUCACUUGCGGAACGUCAUUCAGAGGCACGUUAGUAGGUUAUGUUACUGCGUCCGGAAAUCAAGUGGAUGCCUACUGUUGGGAGGAGCCGCCGCCUCGAGACCACCGUGAUUCGCAAAAAUUUGAAUAGCCCGAUGCGAACAGAGAGGAUUCCCGACUCGCUAUGCGAUCGAACCGUGAAAUGGAUUAGCCGUGUCAGACUCAAGAAAGGUUCCCUGUUACGCGUGUCUGGGAGAAAGAUCGGUGUCAGAUCGUGUACAUUGCCAUUCUUCUUUCAAGGGAAUGAAUUUCUCAUCGAUUAACGAUUGGAAAGGCUGGUCCCAAUUUGACGAUCCCCGUAAUUUUUGACAGUUUAGGGAAAAAUCGGAUUUUCGCCGACAAAACUGGUUGAAACAAAACGCGAAUACGAAGGAACGGGACGGUUAAUCGGUUGUUUGGUGUCUAUCAGAAUGGCAGGUUUUACACGGGACGUGGUAUAGGAAGUUCCUCGUUCAUCAGCAAGGUUUGUCGGAUGAUCAAUUGGAUAUUGCCGGCCUCGCUCGAGAACUUCUCUGUCCCUUUUCCCCGGCCCAUUAGCCUCAAGACGCGGGGAUCGGAUAAUUAGCGAAGCAUUCGCCCUAUUCUUGCCUCCUUCUCCCCUUUCCCUCUUUCUCAAUCUCCGCGGCCCGAGCAGCGGAGAGUCCUUAAUAAUUGUAACUGGACACGGAGCCAACAGCCUCACCAGGAUGCCUCCUCCUCGCUCUUUCCGGUCUCUCGCCUCCUCUAUCACCUCUGCCCAUUCCUCUCUCUCUCUCUCUCCGUCCCUCGUGAUCUAUCCUCCCGUGCGUUUCACUCGCACCCUCUUCCUCGCUGACUGUCUUCCCGGGCUUGCUGCCCACUUUACAAUACACUUUGUCCAUCUGCCUUUUAAGGAGUGAAAAAAUGAAAAAAGGGGGCGUGGCCAGGGAGAUCAAAGGGUGCCGCCGCUGAUACCUCCGCGAAGGUGGGAGCGAGAGAGGCGAGGCUGCGGGGGAGAGAGACGAGAUCGGACGAGACAUACAACCACGGUGGUAUGCACGCCACACGCUACGCCCGCCGCUACGCGUUACUAAACCGCACACUGCGCUCCUCUAAACUGCAAUACGCUAUUCUCUAUAUCGUCGCCGCAUCCUCUUUGACGUCUUCUUUCUUUUUCGACGUUCUUCUUCGUCUUCUUCUUCUUCUUCUUCUUCUUCAUCUCUCACGGCUCAUCUCGCACAAUGUAGCGCACGCUUGCUCUCACGAAAUCACGCUUUCGAAAACGGCAUCGUGCUUUGCAUAGAACUUCCUUCCUUCCUUCCUCCUUUUUUCGUUUCUUUUCCUGAGUUUUGAAUUUAUAUCAAGUUUGUGCGUUGUAAAUUAUAUCUUCCUCGUCGUUGCAUGUCGAAUGUGAAGUAUUUUUUCACGCGCAAUAUUUAUUUUUUGAUCUCCUGUGUCUUAAAGUAGUAGUAGUGUCUUAAAAAAAAAAUAUUGAAAAAAUAUAUUUAUAAAAUUUUAUAUAAAAUGCUAAAAUUAAUUAAGUAAUAAACAUAUAUAAUAAUUCAUUUCUUAGAAUAAAAAUCGCGUUUAACUAACUGCGAAAACAACACGUAAACAGCUGACUAAUCAAUUUUGUACAUCGUCAGUUUUGCACAAGAGAUUGUGCUACUUUCUUGUUUUCACUUAAAAAUAAAUAAACCUUAAUUUUAAUCAAAAUGUUAGAGGAUGGCAGUAAUGCAAGAGUUGCAAGAAUGAUGAUAAUUAUUAACAGAUAAUUCUUUUAAAAAAAUUUUCCAAUCGAUGUGUAAAUGGAAUAACGAGUUUCACCGCUCUAAGUUUGUAAUUUUUUUAUCCAAUUGUCCAAAUGAGCUCAUAAUAUUUAUUACGAGCAUUGGGGAAUUAUAAUUAUAAAAUUCAAAACUUUUAAAACUUUUUCUUUUUUCUUCGAGUUUAUUCAUUUAUUUUCUGGAUGAAUGUUAUCGAUAAAAAUCACCUUAUUAUUUAUUAAUAAUUGUCAGCAUCUCAUUUAAUUAGGAAAUUUAAUUAAUUUCGAACACAAAAAAUAUAUACUUUCGAUUUUUAAUAGAUAACAAAUUUUAACAAUUUCUAAAAAAAAACCAAAACCAUGAUUAUUAUAAUAUAUUCUCUGAUCUUUUGAAAAUCAUGAAAUAAAUUCCAACGAAACAUGCGUAUAUGUAAAAACUUGCAGAAAAUUCAUCAUCAUUAAAUAAAACGAAAUACUGAUAAACAACAAUAAAUUUCUUCUCUAGAUUUAUUAAAAUUUUAACCAUUAUUUUAAACGUUACUACAAUAUAAAAUAAAAUCUUAAAAUUCUACUUCUAUUCUAUCUCAUAUUCCUACAUAUCCCACUUCUCGAGUGGGUGUUUAGAUGUUAAACAAGUAUACUUUCAAAAUUUAUGGACAUUUCAACUUUUCGGUAUCACGAUCAAACGAACAGCAAAAGGGAAUGAUAAAGUUGACUAUGCUGACCCAAUGAUCCCCUAAUGAAUUCGCCGGCGCUGUUUGCCGGCUAUUUAUUCGGAGCAUCAAAUAUACCGCGUCCCAGGUAAUUGGUUAAUAAAACCCCGGAAGGCAAUUCUCUUUUCGCCGUGAUUAAUUGCACCCUCGAGCGAAUCUGCUCUUAUUUUGAAAGUUGGACAACCGACCCACCUAUCCACCUAUCCCUGGCUACGUUCGCAAUUAGUCCCUCUUUAUCGCGUUGCGUCAUUUGCCCACUGCCAGGGAAAAUAUUUCUGGCAAAAAAAAAACGGAGGAAAAAAAAAAGAACGUUUAUCGUUUAAUAACACCGCCCGGAGAAAUUCUUUAAAAAAAUGAUAUCGGACACGUCAUGGGCAGUUUGAUUUUGAUAUACAUCGUGUAAGCAUUUAUAUUCGUUUCAUAUAAUAAUAAUUCAAAAUAUUUCAAAACUUAUUUACUUUAAUCUGUGUGUGAAAUUUCCUUUUAUCUAGAGAAUUUUUUUUUCUUAAAAUCGUGUUAUUUUGAUUAAAUUUUUAAAUUGAGGAUAAUGUAGAGGUAGGCAGGUAUAAAAAAAUUGUAAUAUUUUUGUUAAAAAUAGGCAUCUAAACAAUUGUAAUUUAAAUCAUACUAUAUGUAUGCAUAGGUUAAAAAAGAAUUUUUUAUACAAAUUCAUAUAUAUAUAAAGUUUGAAAUUUGAAUUGUAUAAAAUUGUAUUUAGCAAAUUAUUAUUAGAAAUGCUAUAAAUUGA